rnacentral:rRNA from 1 species
CCUACGGGUGGCAGCAGUGGGGAAUAUUGGACAAUGGGCGAAAGCCUGAUCCAGCCAUGCCGCGUGUGUGAAGAAGGCCUUCGGGUUGUAAAGCACUUUCAGUGGGGAAGAAAGCCUUGGGGCUAAUACCCUCGAGGAAGGACAUCACCCACAGAAGAAGCACCGGCUAACUCCGUGCCAGCAGCCGCGGUAAUACGGAGGGUGCGAGCGUUAAUCGGAAUUACUGGGCGUAAAGCGCGCGUAGGCGGUCUGAUAAGCCGGUUGUGAAAGCCCCGGGCUCAACCUGGGAACGGCAUCCGGAACUGUCAGGAUAGAGUGCAGGAGAGGAAGGUAGAAUUCGCGGUGUAGCGGUGAAAGGCGUAGAGAUCGGGAGGAAUACCAGUGGCGAAGGCGGCCUUCUGGACUGACACUGACGCUGAGGUGCGAAAGCGUGGGUAGCAAACAGGAUUAGAUACCCCGGUAGUC